UCAUUCCUAAAAUAUUUACAGAGAGCAAAAGGCAUGAAAAUAAAUGUUAUGUCUCGAGAACACAAACAUAGCCUUAGCCGAAAGAGCACCACUGAUAUGAAGUAUGAAAUAAAGUCCUCAACUUCCAUAGUCAAAGCUAUCACUUCCUUACAUUACAUAAACCCCCCGCCAGUCACGCAGCCUGUCUGUAACACCUUUCCUCCUCUCUAAAACCCUACACUUCACAUUCACACUCAUAUNNN
rnacentral:lncRNA from 1 species